rnacentral:rRNA from 1 species
GAUUAAGUUAUUAAGGGCGCACGGUGGAUGCCUUGGCACUAGAAGCCGAUGAAGGACGUUACUAACGACGAUAUGCUUUGGGGAGCUGUAAGUAAGCUUUGAUCCAGAGAUUUCCGAAUGGGGAAACCCAGCAUGAGUUAUGUCAUGUUAUCGAUAUGUGAAUACAUAGCAUAUCAGAAGGCACACCCGGAGAACUGAAACAUCUUAGUACCCGGAGGAAGAGAAAGAAAAUUCGAUUCCCUUAGUAGCGGCGAGCGAAACGGGAAGAGCCCAAACCAACAAGCUUGCUUGUUGGGGUUGUAGGACACUCUAUACGGAGUUACAAAGGACGACAUUAGACGAAUCAUCUGGAAAGAUGAAUCAAAGAAGGUAAUAAUCCUGUAGUCGAAAAUGUUGUCUCUCUUGAGUGGAUCCUGAGUACGACGGAGCACGUGAAAUUCCGUCGGAAUCUGGGAGGACCAUCUCCUAAGGCUAAAUACUCUCUAGUGACCGAUAGUGAACCAGUACCGUGAGGGAAAGGUGAAAAGCACCCCGGAAGGGGAGUGAAAUAGAACCUGAAACCGUGUGCUUACAAGUAGUCAGAGCCCGUUAAUGGGUGAUGGCGUGCCUUUUGUAGAAUGAACCGGCGAGUUACGAUUUGAUGCAAGGUUAAGCAGUAAAUGUGGAGCCGUAGCGAAAGCGAGUCUGAAUAGGGCGUUUAGUAUUUGGUCGUAGACCCGAAACCAGGUGAUCUACCCUUGGUCAGGUUGAAGUUCAGGUAACACUGAAUGGAGGACCGAACCGACUUACGUUGAAAAGUGAGCGGAUGAACUGAGGGUAGCGGAGAAAUUCCAAUCGAACCUGGAGAUAGCUGGUUCUCUCCGAAAUAGCUUUAGGGCUAGCCUCAAGUGAUGAUUAUUGGAGGUAGAGCACUGUUUGGACGAGGGGCCCCUCUCGGGUUACCGAAUUCAGACAAACUCCGAAUGCCAAUUAAUUUAACUUGGGAGUCAGAACAUGGGUGAUAAGGUCCGUGUUCGAAAGGGAAACAGCCCAGACCACCAGCUAAGGUCCCAAAAUAUAUGUUAAGUGGAAAAGGAUGUGGCGUUGCCCAGACAACUAGGAUGUUGGCUUAGAAGCAGCCAUCAUUUAAAGAGUGCGUAAUAGCUCACUAGUCGAGUGACACUGCGCCGAAAAUGUACCGGGGCUAAACAUAUUACCGAAGCUGUGGAUUGUCCUUUGGACAAUGGUAGGAGAGCGUUCUAAGGGCGUUGAAGCAUGAUCGUAAGGACAUGUGGAGCGCUUAGAAGUGAGAAUGUCGGUGUGAGUAGCGAAAGACGGGUGAGAAUCCCGUCCACCGAUUGACUAAGGUUUCCAGAGGAAGGCUCGUCCGCUCUGGGUUAGUCGGGUCCUAAGCUGAGGCCGACAGGCGUAGGCGAUGGAUAACAGGUUGAUAUUCCUGUACCACCUAUAAUCGUUUUAAUCGAUGGGGGGACGCAGUAGGAUAGGCGAAGCGUGCGAUUGGAUUGCACGUCUAAGCAGUAAGGCUGAGUAUUAGGCAAAUCCGGUACUCGUUAAGGCUGAGCUGUGAUGGGGAGAAGACAUUGAGUCUUCGAGUCGUUGAUUUCACACUGCCGAGAAAAGCCUCUAGAUAGAAAAUAGGUGCCCGUACCGCAAACCGACACAGGUAGUCAAGAUGAGAAUUCUAAGGUGAGCGAGCGAACUCUCGUUAAGGAACUCGGCAAAAUGACCCCGUAACUUCGGGAGAAGGGGUGCUCUUUAGGGUUAACGCCCAGAAGAGCCGCAGUGAAUAGGCCCAAGCGACUGUUUAUCAAAAACACAGGUCUCUGCUAAACCGUAAGGUGAUGUAUAGGGGCUGACGCCUGCCCGGUGCUGGAAGGUUAAGAGGAGUGGUUAGCUUCUGCGAAGCUACGAAUCGAAGCCCCAGUAAACGGCGGCCGUAACUAUAACGGUCCUAAGGUAGCGAAAUUCCUUGUCGGGUAAGUUCCGACCCGCACGAAAGGCGUAACGAUUUGGGCACUGUCUCAACGAGAGACUCGGUGAAAUCAUAGUACCUGUGAAGAUGCAGGUUACCCGCGACAGGACGGAAAGACCCCGUGGAGCUUUACUGUAGCCUGAUAUUGAAAUUCGGCACAGCUUGUACAGGAUAGGUAGGAGCCUUUGAAACGUGAGCGCUAGCUUACGUGGAGGCGCUGGUGGGAUACUACCCUAGCUGUGUUGGCUUUCUAACCCGCACCACUUAUCGUGGUGGGAGACAGUGUCAGGCGGGCAGUUUGACUGGGGCGGUCGCCUCCUAAAAGGUAACGGAGGCGCUCAAAGGUUCCCUCAGAAUGGUUGGAAAUCAUUCAUAGAGUGUAAAGGCAUAAGGGAGCUUGACUGCGAGACCUACAAGUCGAGCAGGGUCGAAAGACGGACUUAGUGAUCCGGUGGUUCCGCAUGGAAGGGCCAUCGCUCAACGGAUAAAAGCUACCCCGGGGAUAACAGGCUUAUCUCCCCCAAGAGUUCACAUCGACGGGGAGGUUUGGCACCUCGAUGUCGGCUCAUCGCAUCCUGGGGCUGUAGUCGGUCCCAAGGGUUGGGCUGUUCGCCCAUUAAAGCGGUACGCGAGCUGGGUUCAGAACGUCGUGAGACAGUUCGGUCCCUAUCCGUCGUGGGCGUAGGAAAUUUGAGAGGAGCUGUCCUUAGUACGAGAGGACCGGGAUGGACAUACCUCUGGUGUACCAGUUGUCGUGCCAACGGCAUAGCUGGGUAGCUAUGUGUGGACGGGAUAAGUGCUGAAAGCAUCUAAGCAUGAAGCCCCCCUCAAGAUGAGAUUUCCCAACUUCGGUUAUAAGAUC